GAUGAACGCUGGCGGCGUGCUUAACACAUGCAAGUCGAACGGGAAACAUUUCAUUGAGGCUUCGGCGGAUUUGGUCUGUUUCUAGUGGCGGACGGGUGAGUAACGCGUGGGUAACCUGCCUUAUACUGGGGGAUAACAGCCAGAAAUGGCUGCUAAUACCGCAUAAGCGCACGGGACCGCAUGGUCCUGUGUGAAAAACUCCGGUGGUAUAAGAUGGACCCGCGUUGGAUUAGCUAGUUGGCAGGGCAGCGGCCUACCAAGGCGACGAUCCAUAGCCGGCCUGAGAGGGUGAACGGCCACAUUGGGACUGAGACACGGCCCAGACUCCUACGGGAGGCAGCAGUGGGGAAUAUUGCACAAUGGGGGAAACCCUGAUGCAGCGACGCCGCGUGAAGGAAGAAGUAUCUCGGUAUGUAAACUUCUAUCAGCAGGGAAGAUAAUGACG
rnacentral:rRNA from 1 species